AUUGAACGCUGGCGGCAUGCUUUACACAUGCAAGUCGAACGGUAACAGGGUGCUUGCACCGCUGACGAGUGGCGAACGGGUGAGUAAUGCGUCGGAGCGUGCCGAGUAGUGGGGGAUAACGCAGCGAAAGUUGUGCUAAUACCGCAUACGUACUGAGGUAGAAAGUGGGGGACCUUCGGGCCUCACGCUAUUCGAGCGGCCGACGUCUGAUUAGCUAGUAGGUGAGGUAAAGGCUCACCUAGGCGACGAUCAGUAGCGGGUCUGAGAGGAUGAUCCGCCACACUGGGACUGAGACACGGCCCAGACUCCUACGGGAGGCAGCAGUGGGGAAUUUUGGACAAUGGGCGAAAGCCUGAUCCAGCCAUGCCGCGUGUCUGAAGAAGGCCUCCGGGUUGUAAAGGACUUUUGUCAGGGAGGAAAUCCCUAGUGCUAAUAACACUGGGGGAUGACAGUACCUGAAGAAUAAGCACCGGCUAACUACGUGCCAGCCGCCGCGGUAA
rnacentral:rRNA from 1 species